GCACAAGCGGUGGAGCAUGUGGUUUAAUUACGAAGCAACGCGAAGAACCUUACCAGGUCUUGACAUCCCGAUGCUAUUUCUAGAGAUAGAAAGUUACUUCGGUACAUCGGUGACAGGUGGUGCAUGGUUGUCGUCAGCUCGUGUCGUGAGAUGUUGGGUUAAGUCCCGCAACGAGCGCAACCCCUAUUGUUAGUUGCCAUCAUUCAGUUGGGCACUCUAGCGAGACUGCCGGUAAUAAACCGGAGGAAGGUGGGAUGACGUCAAAUCAUCAUGCCCCUUAUGACCUGGGCUACACACGUGCUACAAUGGUUGGUACAACGAGUUGCGAGUCGGUGACGGCGAGCUAAUCUCUUAAAGCCAAUCUCAGUUCGGAUUGUAGGCUGCAACUCGCCCACAUGAAGUCAGAAUCGCUAGUAAUCGCGGAUCAGCACGCCGCGGUGAAUACGUUCCCGGGCCUU
rnacentral:rRNA from 1 species